CUUGGAGGUUCCCCGACUCUAGUGUGCGUGACCGUCCCUGGGGCAUUCUGGGCACCAGCCCCAGGGAUUCAGAUCCAGGAAGUCUGCAUGGGCCCAGGACUCUGCAGGCUUAACUGGCUUAAAGCAGGGUGACGAUGCUGGCGACAGCUGCAGGGCUGGGUGCAGGACAUAAGCCCCCCGGGCGUGAGGCCCCAGAGAGCAGGCCCGACACCACGAUUCCCAGCACCUCCUCUGCGGACGCUGCUCUUCAGGUGUGGUUGUCCCGGUGGGGAAAUUCAGAGCCUCUCAGCGCUGGGCCACGGGCACCGCGGGUCACUGGCCACAGGGAGAGAAAGGCAAGGAGACAGAGUCAGAGCAGGGGGCUAUGCGGGUUGGGUGGCCAGAUAAAAUAGAGGACAUCCAGUUCAAUCUGAAUUAUAGAUAAACACCAAAUAAUUUUUUUGUAUGUGUCCCAAGUGAUGCUGGAUUCUGUGUUUUUAUUUGCUAUAUCUGGCAACUGUAUGUGCAGGUCCCAGCCAGAGCAUCUAUUGAUCACCUUUGAUAUGCCAAGUACUCUGCUGCGUAGACAGUUUCUGCUCUUUGUUCUAUUAAUAGAUAUUGGUUGGGCACCUGUUACACGCCAGGACAGUUCUAGUGGGAGAUAGGGAUUCCGCAAUGAGCAAAACAGACAUAAACCCUGCCCCCUUAGCACUUGCAUUUGAGGGAGGGGACAGAAAGUACAUAAACAAAUAACAAUAUAAUGUCAGGUGAUAAAAGGGCUAAGUAGAAAAUAAAGCAGGCUAAGGGGGUUGGGGUGGGCUUUGUUGCUAACCUAUGUGGGGUGGAAGGAGGUCCUCUGAGUAGAGACAGGCUGGAGACGAGCACAUCUGGGAGAGGCACUGCCGCAGAAGGAACAGCAUGUGCAAAGGCCCUGAGGAGGCCGUGCUGGGAGAGUUCGAGGCACAGAGAGCCUGGAGCCGCGCGAACAGGGGUCGGGUGUUAGGGGUGAAGUCCAAGCAGGGGCCGAGCCUGGCAGGCCGUGUUGGCCACGGCAGGGAGUUUGGUCUGAGCAAGAUGAGAGCCGCCAGAGGGUUUCAAGCAAAGGAGCGACAGGACCUGCCUUGCCUGUUCAGCCUGUGCACCCUUUACAGGUGGCCAGAUGAGGGUUCAGCGCUGCCAGGGAGCUGCCUGCCCUCCCUCCUCGCUGAGCUCCAGAAGCCAGUAAAGGUCAGGGACUUGGGGGCAGUGCCUGUUGGCAGUGGGAGGAAAGGGUUGUCAGAAAGCUGCUUGCUCUGAGUGAGAGGUGUCACUGUCCCCGUGCCAAGGAAAGGGGGCGGGGCACCUCCGUUACCGCUCCAAGGACUGGGCCCUGUCCCCACCGACAGCAGCCUCGGGCUCCAGAAGGACUAGCGCCGUUUCUCCCACACUUGUGACCAGAUGCUGGUUGAGGAGCCCCAGCAGCUUCCAGACGCAGGAAGGGGCUGGACAGGUGGUUUUCUUCUUCCUUUGUUUUCUCACCCACUUUUUCCCCCAUUCCUCCCCCCGCUCCCACAGAUGUUCACUGAGGGCCUGGCAGGGUCUAAGCACUCUGCCCCGAUAGCGCACAAGUGAUGACAUGCUGUGACUGUAGCUACGAGGCGAUGGACAGGGUGGGGUGAGGGAGCAGUUGGGUGUGUCAGGUGGGGUCCGUCGGGGAAGCCCUCCUGAGAAGGUGGCGUCUAGAACAAGGAAAGAGAGGGCUGCGGGGAGCGCCCGGCAUCUGUACCGCAAGUCCCGGGAAGAGGCGGUCCUGACACCCCCACCUGCCCUCCGGUGGCCACCCCGGCCUGAAGGGAGCCUGCUUCCUCCCUCCCUGGUGCCAGCCUGCGUUUUGAACCCCCUGGAAAGCCUUUGCUUUCUGGGCCCCUUCCCGGCUCAGCCGGGCCUUAGCAGAGCCCCUGAGGCCUGAUGAGCACUUGGCUGGAGCCUCCCCGGGCAGGGGGCCGCUGUCCCGGCAGGGUGGGGUGUGGGCUCAGAGUGGCCUCUGGACACCCCGCACCCCCCGUCCCGGCCAUGCCGACUCUGCAGCCGGCCUCCAGGAUGGCUUUCCUCUCUCUUAACGGGCAGGGCCGCUGCCAACUGCAAUGGAUGAGUUACAGCCGUGCUGCGGGGAGCCGGGCAUCCACCAGCCACCUGCCAACAGCCCUAACACCAGCUGGGCUGCGGCGCCAAUCAGACCCGGGAGGAGAGUGGGGAACUGUCCGGUUUUUCUUGAAAAAUUCUCCAGCAGGGAGCUGUUUGCUGGGCUGUGUGUGCAUGUGUGGUACGUGUGUGUGUGCGCGGUGUGUGAUGUGUGUGUGUGCACGAUGAGGUGUGUUGUGUGAUGUGUGUGUGGCGUGUACGUGUGUGGUGUGUGUGUGCGGUGUGUGUGUGUGCACGAUGUGGUGUGUUGUGUGAUGUGUGUGUGGUGUGUACGUGUGUGGCGUGCACCUGCGGGUGGGAGUUUUGCCUGUGUGCCCAUGUAGUCCUGCGGCGCCCGGGGUGGGGAAUGAGGUUCUGUGCUGGUGGAACAAGCCAGGGACUCCCCCUGGGUGCUGCAGGUUCUGUGCCCUUGCUCCCGACCUCUGUCCUUGACACCCUCAUGUUCAUCACGGCCACCCCAGCAGGAGACAGCCAGGUCAUACCUGGUAUCUGCCCUGUCCCCCCGUCCCUGAGGCCAAUCCUGCAGCCACUUCUACUCUCUCGGAUGUCUCCCCACCCUGGGCGGCAGGAGAAAUGGAGGUGGCAGCAUGGAGGCCACUGCCUGGAAGGGCUCCCAGGUCAGGGGUUCGGGGGCUCUUUGGAGCGGACCCCCUGAGUCUCCUCUCCCCUGAAGCCUGAGCGGAUGUGGGCUGGGAACGUUAGCUGAGUUCUGAGAGAUAUAUGACGGGGCUGCUUGGUUGGGCAGAGAAUGCCGUUCUCUGACACAUGGCAGCCCCUCCCAAGUGCUGGCUGGCUCAGGGCUCUGCGAAUCGUCUCUUGUGGUCCCCUGGUCACCCUGGACACAGACGCUGGCGUGUAACCUUCGUCUGCUGACAGGGAAACAGAGGCUCAGGGAAGGUAGGUGGAGGUGGGGUGGCUGAGGGAACUGGCCCUUCCCUCUUGUCACGGCUUCAGAACCGAGAUUCCUGCUCAGCGGACCAUCACCCACUGUGCACCUGGCACCAAGGCCUCGUUACUGUUAGCCCACUUCAUGGAUGAGAAAACUGAGGCUGAGGAAACUAAGGAAUCUCUUCCGGUGACCACGCUAGGAAGCAGGAUGUAGCCCGGGGCUGUCUGACUCUCAGUCUGGCCCCCUUCAAGGUCCUCUGGACCAGGAAAAAGAAGUAACCUUCACCCUAGCCAGGUGAGCACGUUUCUUGGGAAUUAGUGACAGAGCUGGCCACAGCCCCGCAGCAGGAGGCCACACCAUGGUUACACACAGGAGUUCAGAAGCACCUGUCAGCACCCCCAUCACCGGACCAGAGCCCACAUUCCCUCUGUAAAGCUGGCCCUACCCUGGUAGAGCAGACUCCCCCAUCAGCCUCUGGGUUCCAGGAGAGGCACAUGGCUCUCAAGGCAGCUGGGCUGGAGCCGGGGCCUGGUGAAGACGCAGAGGUGGCCCUUCCCGCUCCUCAGACGGGUCCUUGCCCCUGUACCCCAUCCUAGGGGAUCUGCUGUCCUCGCCCCUGCAGGGUUUGCCCCAUCACUCCAUGCCGUGGCUGGGACCACAGGGCAGCUCCCAGGUGUGGGGCAAGGUUGCCAUGGCAACCCGCGUCAUGGGCCAGCACUCUGAGCUCCGCUGACAGCUUGCCGGGCGGCGCCUCCGGAGCCCGAUCACAGAGAUGUGCUUUGUGGCAGCUCAACGUUCAGCCCGUUCUCCCCAAACGUGGCUCUCCAAGGGGUGAGCACACGGUGGGUUCCAAGGCGAGGAGCCCUUGGGGACCCGCCAGCCUUGGGCCAUUACCAGGAAGUGAACGGCAGGAAGGUGGUCUGAUCUGCGGUGUCUCCCGGCGUGGGCUCUGCACGCCCGGCGCUCACUCUUCUCCGCGCCCACACCCCUAACCGCCAAGGCAGCAAGCUCCCAGGCUCUGAAGCUAGGCUCCCCUCACGCUGUCGUUCCAAAGGCCCCAAGUGGAAACAUGUUCUUCCUAGAAGAUGUUUUAUGAUCACGUGUAGCAUUUGACAAGGGAUGGACUGAGCCAGGCUGUGGGCUGGGCAGUGACUGAUUCUGUAGCUGGGGUACGUAAAUGUGCUGGAGUCUGCAAUGGACACGUCAUCACAGGCCCAGAUCCGCAAAGCCAAGGGCAGACCUGUUUGACUCCGUCUGCUGGCUGAGCUAGAACUCCCUGAGCCCUGAGCGUUAUGUCACCACCCGCAUCAUCUCCUCCAUCCCUCCCCGCGCUCCCCACCCCAUGGUCCUCGCCAACACUUCUGCCACCUUCCACUUCUUAUUCCUUAUUUGCUGGGUCCUGCCUUGCACCCUCCCAUCAGCAAACACAUCUUAUCAGGUGUGGCCGAAGCACAACAGUGAAAAGAUAUGGCCAGUGACACACAGUACAACUGUAGCCUUACCGGAUGCACACCGCAUGGGGACCUCAUGGAGUGACAACAGAGAGGGAAGGACGGUGAAAUGAGCCUGGCUACCCAAGGCCUGAAGGAGGCAGUGGGGGAGGGGCACAGAAGGGAGGGCAGAAUUCUGCUGCAGACCCUUUCAGUGGCCACCCUGUUCUCACCCCCUCUGGGUCUUCCCACUGCUUCCCAGAGUCCCUCACGAUGGUUCUGUGCUGAGCCAGGGCCCCCAGACACCCAGCCAAUAAUAGCUUCUUAGAAGCUUGUGUCGGGUGCACGCUGGUGUAAUGGACUCACAGAACGUCACAGCCUGCGGGGGAUAUCCGGAAUAUUUCCCCCAGAGUACAAAGAUGGAUCUUACUUUCCUCUGUGUCUAGGAAGAUGGCGACCCUCUUGCUACCUGGGGCUGAUUCUCUGCAAACCAGGAAGGACUGAUAUGUGGUCAGGGAGGUUUUGUCUGCUCUUCUGGAAACGAGGGAGGCUCCGUCCAACGGGAUGACUACAGUUGCUGCCCCUACGGUUUCGUCAUCACAGUGAGUGAGUUCAUAGUUUGCAGGGAGGGGAAGCAGUUUAGUCUCUGCUGAAAGCUGAAUGGGCCGGGCUGUACUCGGAGCUCUCUUGGCAUCAAAACCAGAACUUACGAAAAACCAAACCAAAACAAAACAGAACUUACAUUCCUGGCGCACGAGCACAGGCGGCUGGGAACAAGUCAUGUUCACACUUGUAGAAGCGUGUUCCCGCCACCUCCCUCGGCACUUUGAACUCCCCCCUGGCUCCCCUCCAGCGUGCAGGGCUGCCGUUUCCUCUGGCACCCACUCCCACCUCACGCUCUGUCAAAAUGCUUUCAAGAAACGUGAGGACGAAAUGUAACUAACAUGUACCUUCGUGUGAAAAAGGACAGCAGAGGCCUGAGCAGGCCCUGGGAGAGGCAACUGCACAGGAAGAGAGGAAGAGCCUGGACUGGGAGAUUCACACUUCUGUCGAGGCCUCACCCUCCUCCUGGGGCCGCCACCACCAUGCUGGCCUCGGGGAACCGCUUUGACUUUUAGCUUCUCUGAGCUGGGAAGUAGGCAUCAGUAGCCUUGGUUUCCUUAUGAGGGAUACCUACCUCUCCAUCCCCGAAACCGCCUUCCAGGAACAGGAGGAGAUCAGGUCACGACCGUUAACAGAAAGGAGUUUUGCAGACUGCAACUCAGGCCACAUUGUUAUGUAUCUGUGUGAGUCUGUUAGAUCAGAUGGUAUUAAAUUUAACUAAAUGGCAUUUAUGUAUUCAUGCAAUAAAUAUUUGUUGAGUGUCUA